rnacentral:rRNA from 1 species
UAGGGAAUCUUCCGCAAUGGACGCAAGUCUGACGGAGCAACGCCGCGUGAGUGAAGAAGGAUUUCGGUUCGUAAAACUCUGUUGUUAGAGAAGAACAGCGCAUAGAGUAACUGUUAUGCGUGUGACGGUAUCUAACCAGAAAGCCACGGCUAACUACGUGCCAGCAGCCGCGGUAAUACGUAGGUGGCAAGCGUUGUCCGGAUGUAUUGGGCGUAAAGCGAGCGCAGGCGGUCAAUUAAGUCUGAUGUGAAAGCCCCCGGCUCAACCGGGGAGGGUCAUUGGAAACUGGUUGACUUGAGUGCAGAAGAGGAGAGUGGAAUUCCAUGUGUAGCGGUGAAAUGCGUAGAUAUAUGGAGGAACACCAGUGGCGAAGGCGACUCUCUGGUCUGUAACUGACGCUGAGGCUCGAAAGCGUGGGUAGCAAACAGG